UAGGCUGACAGAGACUGGAGAGGCAAAGUAAGGUCAAUAGUGAAAGUAACCCCUCACCCUUCAGAGACCUUAAACCACUUACCAAGCAUUUUUGCACAAAUGCCUUUGAUUCUUACCACAACCCCAUGAGGCAGAUAUAAUUUACAAAUAAGGAAAGAGAGGCAGGCCUAAUUUAUAGAUGAGAAUAGAGAGGAUAAGAGAAGAGAAGGGAGUCUCCUAUUUUCAUACACCCAUUAAAAAUCAAGCCUCAGCUGGGUGUGGUGGCUCAUGCCUGCAAUCCCAGCAUUUUGGGAGGCUGAGGUGGGCAGAUCACCUGAGGUCAGGAGUUCAGGACUAGCCUGGCCAACAUGGUGAAACUCCAUCUCUACUAAAAAUACAAAAAUUAGCUGGGCAUGGUGGCAGGUGCCUGUAGUCCCAGCUACUUGGGAGGCUGAGGCAUGAGAACUGCUUGAACCUGGGAGGCAGAGGUUGCAG
rnacentral:lncRNA from 1 species